CGCGGUCCUCGGUAGUGAUCCCCGGGAACGGCUUCCUUGAUGAAGCCCCGGCCCGUGGGUCUCGAUCGAUGACCGGG
rfam:Pseudarthrobacter phenanthrenivorans Sphe3 chromosome, complete genome.